rfam:Pararhizobium polonicum strain F5.1 contig_3, whole genome shotgun sequence.
UGCGGUCUGCGCUUCCCGACAGGACACCACAAUCCCUGGGGCCAUACUCGAUCCAACGGGAGCUGUCCCUGACCUGGCCCGUGGGCUAGGUCACAUGGCGCCCACCUACGUUUGUAGGCACCCAGGAUCGUAAAAAGUCCAUCGGUUGUGUGGAUCGCAC